CCCUAUAAAUACAGGUGCCCUUGUGCCUCCGCUGCUCAUUGCGUUCGCUUCCGGUUUUCUUCUUCUUCUUUCAGCAGUAGUGCCGCUUCUCUGUUCGGCGAUGGCUGGGCCUGCUGCGGUUCGAUCCGGCCAACGCCGUCGGGGCCGUCCUCCUGGGAUUCGGGCGGCCCUUAUUGUCCGUGUGCGCCGCGCUGCCGGCCGCGUUUCUUCCGUGGAUUCGUCGUCGACGAUGGCAUUCGCUGGUGGGUGUGGCCAGGCAGCUGUAGUUGAUUCGGGUUGCCGCCUCCGGUCUGCUACUCGCCGGCCGUUUCGUUCUUCUCGGCCUGGUUGUCGUUGUCUUAAUUGGUUGAUGCAUGUUGUAUGUGUUCAUCGAUUGGAUUCAUGUCAAGAUGUUAAUGUGGACGUUGAUAGUCGUCGUCGGGAGAUUUCAUUAGGGAAUCGACCUGUAGAUUGUACCAUUGGUUCUGUUGUCAGUGUGUGUUCUUCUUCAGCGGUCGACGGGUUCGCUUCUGCUGUUCGGUCUGUCAGUGGGCGAUCUUACAGUUUAUCUGCCGAAGCUGUCGACGGUUUGAAUGUUUGUCCUUCCGGUUUUUCUGCUGGUGGUUAUCCUCAUGCCUCUUUGGUUGGUGGUACGUCUUCCUGCUGUCGUCUAAGAGUGGUGCCCUUGCGUGCUGCUGGUGCCUUCGGUCGACCAUUGUUGUUGGUUCUUCUUCUUCGUCUGAUGGCUUUGUUUCUGCUGGUCGGCUCUCUGUUGUGCGAACUGAAAAUACUUGCCAUUUGGCAGCCUCAACGAAACACAACGGUGACUCAUUCAUCUAUAUAUGCUCUAUAUAUUACCAGUUGGACACUCUCGACCAAUAUCAACUGAGUACACCGCAAUGGACGAAGCUUAUCAUCCCCAGAGAGCGUCCUCCAUGGCAAAGCAAGUUAAGAAGAAGGGUAAACAUCCGGCACUGAAUUCUAAUCAUGGAAGCGGAAGUACCUCGGAUGAGAAUCUUAUAGUGUAUAUUCCAAGACGACCAAUGCUUGAAACAGUGAGUUAAACAAUUGGCCUAAAAGUACAAGGGUACACCUGUUGGUACGUUCAUGAAGGUAUGAUACAAGCGUCCGUACUAAUUGCUCUACCACGUCAGAAAGAUAGCUUCAGAGAAUCGUCCAUUACAUAUGAAGGAGAAGCAGCUAAUACAGAAGAUGAAGCAAUGGAAAAAUCAGCUCAGGUGGCCUUAGAAUGCAUCUGUGCAGACUAUAAUAUUUCUAUCAAUGAUCAUAAUUACUAUGUUCUUGAAGUCACAAAGGAAAGGCUAUUUACAGCAAGAGAGAAGGCUCAAACAAAACAAUGGCAAUUCAAUAUGGCCCGCCAGCAAGUAAACACACAGCAAAACGAGUUUGCAAGACAGACAAUGAUUUUGGCAAAGAUAUGCAAUGGCUUCUUUGAUAUAUUACCACUUCGUAUGUAUCCCCAGACAGCGACGAUCCCAUUAUCACAUAUACAGGCACGCACCCUUCCGUCGGACGUAUGCAAGAACUUGCAAAAUCACUUUAUCAUUAUACCACAGGCACCAAUCCUGCAGGAGGAUAUACUAGGAUGAUCUAAUCCACUAGCAGCUACUUCUAGCUUAUCUAUGCAAUGUGUUUGUGUCUUUAUAUACAGUUCUCUGUCCGCAGCAAACUGUAUGUAGUUUGAA